rnacentral:rRNA from 1 species
AACAUUGUGCUUGCACAGAUGACGACCGGCGCACGGGUGCGUAACGCGUAUAGAACCUACCUUUUACAGAGGGAUAGCCUUUAGAAAUGAAGAUUAAUACCUUAUAGUAUUGAGACUUGGCAUCAAGUUUUAAUUAAAGAUUUAUCGGUAAAAGAUGGCUAUGCGUCCUAUUAGUUAGUUGGUAAGGUAACGGCUUACCAAGACAGCGAUAGGUAGGGGCCCUGAGAGGGGGAUCCCCCACACUGGUACUGAGACACGGACCAGACUCCUACGGGAGGCAGCAGUGAGGAAUAUUGGGCAAUGGAGGCAACUCUGACCCAGCCAUGCCGCGUGCAGGAAGACGGCCCUAUGGGUUGUAAACUGCUUUUAUACAGGAAGAAACACUCGUACGUGUACGAGCUUGACGGUACUGUAAGAAUAAGGACCGGCUAACUCCGUGCCAGCAGCCGCGGUAAUACGGAGGGUCCGAGCGUUAUCCGGAAUCAUUGGGUUUAAAGGGUCCGCAGGCGGUCAAUUAAGUCAGAGGUGAAAUACCAUAGCUCAACUAUGGAACUGCCUUUGAUACUGGUUUGACUUGAGUCAUAUGGAAGUAGAUAGAAUGUGUAGUGUAGCGGUGAAAUGCAUAGAGAUUACACAGAAUACCGAUUGCGAAGGCAGUCUACUACGUAUGUACUGACGCUGAGGGACGAAAGCGUGGGGAGCGAACAGGAUUAGAUACCCUGGUAGUCCACGCCGUAAACGAUGGAUACUAGUUGUUGGGCAUUAGCUCAGUGACUAAGCGAAAGUGAUAAGU